AGUGAACGCUGGCGGUAGGCCUAACACAUGCAAGUCGAACGGCAGCACAGUAAGAGCUUGCUCUUACGGGUGGCGAGUGGCGGACGGGUGAGGAAUACAUCGGAAUCUACUUUUUCGUGGGGGGUAACGUAGGGAAACUUACGCUAAUACCGCAUACGACCUACGGGUGAAAGCAGGGGAUCUUCGGACCUUGCGCGAUUGAAUGAGCCGAUGUCGGAUUAGCUAGUUGGCGGGGUAAAGGCCCACCAAGGCGACGAUCCGUAGCUGGUCUGAGAGGAUGAUCAGCCACACUGGAACUGAGACACGGUCCAGACUCCUACGGGAGGCAGCAGUGGGGAAUAUUGGACAAUGGGCGCAAGCCUGAUCCAGCCAUACCGCGUGGGUGAAGAAGGCCUUCGGGUUGUAAAGCCCUUUUGUUGGGAAAGAAAAGCAGCAGGUUAAUACCCCGCUGUUCUGACGGUGCCCAAAGAAUAAGCACCGGCUAACUUCGUG
rnacentral:rRNA from 1 species